rnacentral:rRNA from 1 species
GACGAACGCUGGCGGCGUGCCUAAUACAUGCAAGUAGAACGCUGAAGGAGGAGCUUGCUUCUCUGGAUGAGUUGCGAACGGGUGAGUAACGCGUAGGUAACCUGCCUGGUAGCGGGGGAUAACUAUUGGAAACGAUAGCUAAUACCGCAUAAUAGUAGAUGUUGCAUGACAUUUGCUUAAAAGGUGCAAUUGCAUCACUACCAGAUGGACCUGCGUUGUAUUAGCUAGUUGGUGGGGUAACGGCUCACCAAGGCGACGAUACAGAGCCGACCUGGGGGGGUGAUCGGCCAAACUGGGACUGAGACACGGCCCAGACUCCUACGGGAGGCAGCAGUAGGGAAUCUUCGGCAAUGGACGGAAGUCUGACCGAGCAACGCCGGGUGAGUGAAGAAGGUUUUCGGAUCGUAAAGCUCUGUUGUAAGAGAAGAACGAGUGUGAGAGUGGAAAGUUCACGCUGUGACGGUAUCUUACCAGAAAGGGACGGCUAACUACGUG